UACGGAGGGUGCAAGCGUUGCCCGGAAUUAUUGGGCGUAAAGGGCAAGUAGGUGGUCUUAUUUGUCUAGGGUGAAAUCCUUGAGCUUAACUCAAGAAGUGCCCUAGAAACGGUAAGACUAGAGUCCUGGAGAGGGUCGUGGAAUUCCCGGUGUAGCGGUGAAAUGCGUAGAGAUCGGGAGGAACACCAGAGGCGAAGGCGGCGACCUGGACAGGCACUGACACUCAACUGCGAAAGCGUGGGGAGCAAACAGG
rnacentral:rRNA from 1 species